rnacentral:rRNA from 1 species
UACGAAGGGGGCUAGCGUUGUUCGGAAUUACUGGGCGUAAAGCGCACGUAGGCGGAUAUUUAAGUCAGGGGUGAAAUCCCAGAGCUCAACUCUGGAACUGCCUUUGAUACUGGGUAUCUUGAGUAUGGAAGAGGUAAGUGGAAUUGCGAGUGUAGAGGUGAAAUUCGUAGAUAUUCACAGGAACACCAGUGGCGAAGGCGGCUUACUGGUCCAUUACUGACGCUGAGGUGCGAAAGCGUGGGGAGCAAACAGG